rnacentral:rRNA from 1 species
UACAGAGGUCUCAAGCGUUGUUCGGAUUCAUUGGGCGUAAAGGGUGCGUAGGUGGCGCCGUAAGUCGGGUGUGAAAUUUCGGAGCUUAACUCCGAAACUGCAUUCGAUACUGCGGUGCUUGAGGACUGGAGAGGAGACUGGAAUUCAUGGUGUAGCAGUGAAAUGCGUAGAGAUCAUGAGGAAGACCAGUGGCGAAAGGCGGGUCUCUGGACAGUUCCUGACACUGAGGCACGAAGGCCAGGGGAGCAAACGGG